AAGGAUCAUUACCUAGAGUUGUAGGCUUUGCCUGCUAUCUCUUACCCAUGUCUUUUGAGUACCUUACGUUUCCUCGGUGGGUUCGCCCACCGAUUGGACAAACUUAAACCCUUUGCAGUUGAAAUCAGCGUCUGAAAAAACUUAAUAGUUACAACUUUCAACAACGGAUCUCUUGGUUCUGGCAUCGAUGAAGAACGCAGCGAAAUGCGAUAAGUAGUGUGAAUUGCAGAAUUCAGUGAAUCAUCGAAUCUUUGAACGCACAUUGCGCCCCUUGGUAUUCCAUGGGGCAUGCCUGUUCGAGCGUCAUUUGUACCUUCAAGCUCUGCUUGGUGUUGGGUGUUUGUCUCCUGUAGACUCGCCUUAAAACAAUUGGCAGCCGGCGUAUUGAUUUCGGAGCGCAGUACAUCUCGCGCUUUGCACUCAUAACGACGACAUCCAAAAGUACAUUUUUACACUCUUGACCUCGGAUCAGGUAGGGAUACCCGCUGAACUUAAGCAUAUCAAUAAG
rnacentral:rRNA from 1 species